UACGUAGGUGGCAAGCGUUGUCCGGAUUUACUGGGCGUAAAGAGCGCGCAGGCGGUCGUUCAAGUCGCGUGUGAAAGCCCCCGGCUCAACUGGGGAGGGUCACGCGAUACUGAUCGACUCGAAGGCAGGAGAGGGAAGUGGAAUUCCCGGUGUAGUGGUGAAAUGCGUAGAUAUCUGGAGGAAUACCGGUGGCGAAGGCGGCAUUCUGGACUAUUUCUGACACUGAUGAGCGAAAGCGUGGGGAGCGAACAGG
rnacentral:rRNA from 1 species